rnacentral:rRNA from 1 species
CCUACGGGAGGCAGCAGUAGGGAAUAUUGCUCAAUGGGGGAAACCCUGAAGCAGCAACGCCGCGUGGAGGAUGAAGGUUUUCGGAUUGUAAUCUCCUUUUGUUAGAGAAGAUAAUGACGGUAUCUAACGAAUAAGCACCGGCUAACUCCGCGCCAGCAGCCGCGGUAAUACGGAGGGUGCAAGCGUUACUCGGAAUCACUGGGCGUAAAGAGCGCGUAGGCGGGAUAGCAAGUCAGAUGUGAAAUCCUAUGGCUUAACCAUAGAACUGCAUUUGAAACUGUUAUUCUAGAGUAUGGGAGAGGUAGGUGGAAUUCUUGGUGUAGGGGUAAAAUGCGUAGAGAUCAAGAGGAAUACUCAUUGCGAAGGCGACCUGCUAGAACAUAACUGACGCUGAUGCGCGAAAGCGUGGGGAGCAAACAGGAUUAGAUACCCGAGUAGUC